GAUGAACGCUGGCGGCGUGCUUAACACAUGCAAGUCGAACGAUGAAGCCCAGCUUGCUGGGUGGAUUAGUGGCGAACGGGUGAGUAACACGUGAGUAACCUGCCCUUAACUCUGGGAUAAGCCUGGGAAACUGGGUCUAAUACCGGAUAGGAGCGUCCACCGCAUGGUGGGUGUUGGAAAGAUUUAUCGGUUUUGGAUGGACUCGCGGCCUAUCAGCUUGUUGGGGAGGGAAUGGCUCACCAAGGCGACGACGGGUAGCCGGCCUGAGAGGGUGACCGGCCACACUGGGACUGGGACAAGGCCCAGACUCCUACGGGAGGCAGCAGUGGGGAAUAUUGCACAAUGGGCGCAAGCCUGAUGCAGCGACGCCGCGUGAGGGAUGACGGCCUUCGGGUUGUAAACCUCUUUCAGUAGGGAAGAAGCGAAAGUGACGGUACCUGCAGAAGAAGCACCGGCUAACUACGUG
rnacentral:rRNA from 1 species